UGGGGAAUAUUGCACAAUGGGCGCAAGCCUGAUGCAGCCAUGCCGCGUGUAUGAAGAAGGCCUUCGGGUUGUAAAGUACUUUCAGCGGGGAGGAAGGGAGUAAAGGUUAAAUAACCUUUAUUCAUUGACGUUACCCGCAGAAGAAGCACCGGCUAACUCCGUGCCAGCAGCCGCGGUAAUACGGAGGGUGCAAGCGUUAAUCGGAAUUACUGGGCGUAAAGCGCACGCAGGCGGUCUGUCAAGUCGGAUGUGAAAUCCCCGGGCUCAACCUGGGAACUGCAUUCGAAACUGGCAGGCU
rnacentral:rRNA from 1 species